rnacentral:lncRNA from 1 species
GAAAAUAAGAUGGGCAGCACCUCUUAAUUUUUCCUCCUGACAAGAAAGCACAAAGAAUAUAUAUAUAUAUAUUUCAAAUCCAUAACAUAAAUUUAAAGUUAAAUUCAAGUAUAUAUAAGUAUAUAUAGUACAUUUUUUUUAGAUAAAUAAGCACAGGUCAAAUAACCAAACAAUGAAUUACAAUUAGAAAAAUAAGACGAAUAAAAUCUGUCAACAUGCUAGGAUAAAAGACUAAGAUUAGAACUCGUAAGUGAUGGUGACUCACCAGUAGGAGUAAUCACAGGCAGAUGUCCCAGGCUCAUGCUAUUAUUCAAGGUCUGGCCUCUUCCUUUGUUUGUCUAGGCUGUUGGGAAUGUUUGUACUUGGACCCAACUGACCAGACCGGAAUCGAUAACACUUGACACCUAAACACAAUGAAAGUAGAAAAUCAAACAGAGCACUGUCCUCAAUUUCUUUGUCAACCAAGAAAAGAAAUUAAAAAUUUCACACAGACAGACAUGAAUUCACAGAAAUUUACCUAAUCAAGAAAUACUCUUCAAAGAAUGGAAUUCCAUGUUGCUUCCGCCAGCAGGCCUGAACAUAUUAGUUAAAGUCCAGAGUAUUUGAGAUAUCAGUGAACAUCUACUGACAAUGGAUCAAACAUUAACUUAUCUCCACCAGCCUUACCAAUCUGUUUUUCACACAGUUAAUUACAAUAAUAAUAUAAAAAUGCUAACAAAAAGAAUGAACACAACAUAAAAUUAAAAGAACCAAAUGACUCACAGCAGCAACUCCUUUACUCUGAGGAUUUUUUCUUUAAACUGUACUCUGAAACCCUCCCUGCAACAAAAUUGAUUCAGCAAAUAUAUCAAAAUAAAUAACUUUAAAAAAAAACAAUAAUUAAUGUUUAAAUUGACAAAGGAACAAAAAUAAUAUACAUGAAAAUGAAGAAAGCACUGGGCGGCCUCUUAGGUUUGUUAAGGUCCUUGGCAGCCUUGCCCUUUUUAGUUUUGCGCACGAAAUGCCUAUCACCAUUAACAAAAAAUUGAUUCGGCAAAUAUAUCAAAAUCAAUAAUUUUAAAAAAUAUAUAUAAUUAAUGUUUAAAUUGAUAAAGGAAAAAAAAUAAUAUACAUGAAAAUGAAGAAAGCACUGGGCGGCUCUUAGGUUUGUUAAGGUCCUUGGCAGCCUUGCCCUUUUUAGUUUUGCGCACGGAAUGCCUAUCACCAUUAACAAAAAAUUGAUUCAGCAAAUAUACCAAAAUCAAUAAUUUUAAAAAAAAUAUAAUUAAUGUUUAAAUUGAUAAAGGAACAAAAAUAAUAUAC